rnacentral:lncRNA from 1 species
CAGUCCUGCAGCGUGCAACCACUACUGGGGCAGCUCGUGACUCCUCUUGGCCAUGGACCUCAGAGCCCAUACAGGUGAAAUGUGAGACGUAACUUUGCCUUGUGUGGCCCUAAUGAACAUAAGGUGGGCAAAGCUGCUGGAGCAUCCUCAUGCCAUGAUCUUCGAGGAGCAACAUCGCAGUGCAGUGCCUUGUCAUGGUGGGGCAUGGCACUGAGAGCUGCUGGCCACCAGGAGGGAGACAAAGGGAAGGUGACCAUCUUUCCGACAUGGAGCAUGUAGCAGCUGCCUGUGAUGCUGCCUUGCAAAAGUGGUGGGGAAGUAUUUACAUUAUUAAACAUUGUGAUGACAAGUGUCUUGGGAUCUUGCAAGGCUGUAUUGCUAAGUAAGGCAACAAGCAGUGUAACUGCUGGCAUGUUUUGAAGUAACUAAAUGGAUCCAAUGACAAUUCAUUUUUUAAUAGAUGAAAGAGAAGCAGGCUUCAAAACAGAUAAUGAAUUUCUUCUAACUCGUCUGGAGACUGAAGAGCCAUAAUUCUGAUUGAUCAGAUAUGGUCUGCUUCAGAGAGGCACCAGAUGUGAUCCAGAUUUUAAAUAGAUGCUGCUACUGUCAAAAUGCAUUCGCUCCCUCCUGGUAUAACAAAGUGAAGUCCAUCUGUCUGGAGUUGUGUACUUUUUUUAGUGGUAAUAACAGUUAACAUCAACAAUAAGCUUUGUCUCAUUAGUAUCACAUAAUCCCUACUACCAAGUCCCCAGUUUCUGGUCCCCAUAUUAUCUGCCAUGGAAAAAAUAAAGACCACAGCAGGAGCUAAGAAGGUCA